rnacentral:rRNA from 1 species
UACAUGGGGUGCAAACGUUGCUCGGAAUUAUUGGGCGUAAAGCGCGCGUAGGCGGUUACUUAAGUCGGAUGUGAAAGCCCUCGGCUUAACUGAGGAAGUGCACCCGAAACUGAGUAGCUAGAGUACGAAAGAGGGUCGCGGAAUUCCCGGUGUAGAGGUGAAAUGCGUAGAUAUCGUAAGGAAGACCAGUGGCGAAGGCGGGUCUCUGGACAGUUCCUGACGCUGAGGCACGAAGGCCAGGGGAGCAAACGGG